rnacentral:rRNA from 1 species
AUGAACGCUGGCGGCGUGCUUAACACAUGCAAGUCGAACGAAGCAUUUAGGACAGAUUACUUCGGUUUGAAGUUCUUUAUGACUGAGUGGCGGACGGGUGAGUAACGCGUGGGUAACCUGCCUUGUACUGGGGGAUAGCAGCUGGAAACGGCUGGUAAUACCGCAUAAGCGCACAAUGUUGCAUGACAUGAUGUGAAAAACUCCGGUGGUAUAAGAUGGACCCGCGUCUGAUUAGCUAGUUGGUGAGAUAACAGCCCACCAAGGCGACGAUCAGUAGCCGACCUGAGAGGGUGACCGGCCACAUUGGGACUGAGACACGGCCCAGACUCCUACGGGAGGCAGCAGUGGGGAAUAUUGCACAAUGGAGGAAACUCUGAUGCAGCGACGCCGCGUGAGUGAAGAAGUAAUUCGUUAUGUAAAGCUCUAUCAGCAGGGAAGAUAGUGACGGUACCUGACGAAGAAGCUCCGGCUAAAUACGUG